CUUUACUAUUGACUCUUCUGUCAUCUAGCCAUCAUGAGGUUUCUGGUUGUGUUUUCUCUACUCGCCCUGACUUGUGCUCAGUUACUACAUCCCUUCUGGAAUGGCGCCAACAGUGAUCGUCAUAAUGGUUAUCAAUUUGAGUAUCACAGCCGAAGCCAUUUGUUGGUAGUUCGGGAUACGAGAAACUGUUAUUUGAUCAAUGCUGACAAGAGCCUUGUUGAUACUUUCGUGGAUAAGUCUACAAGAGACUCAGUCGAGGAUGAUAUUAUCGCGCAUAUUAAGAAUAACGAGGGUACUCAUGCAGAAAGUCAUUUGGGUUCUCUAACUCAUUUUCACGAUAUUUUGACUACUGCUGAAUGUCUCCGACGAAGAAUAUACAGCUUGGAAUACAAAAUCAGCACAGCUACAACCCAACAACCAUAAAUAUGUAAAUUUGCGUAAAUAAAAGGAAAAUAAAAAAUGCAUAACAAUAAA